rnacentral:rRNA from 1 species
AUUGAACGCUGGCGGCAGGCCUAACACAUGCAAGUCGAGCGGAGCGGCGGACGGGUGAGUAAUGCCUAGGAAUCUGCCUGGUAGUGGGGGAUAACGUCCGGAAACGGGCGCUAAAACCGCAUAACAUCAGAUGAGCCUAGGUCGGAUUAGCUAGUUGGUGGGGUAAAGGCCUACCAAGGCGACGAUCCGUAACUGGUCUGAGAGGAUGAUCAGUCACACUGGAACCGAGACACGGUCCAGACUCCUACGGGAGUCAGCAGUGGAGAAUAUUGGACAGUGAGCGAAAGCCUGAUCCCGCCUUUCCGCGUGUGUGAAGAGGUUCUUCUGGUUGUAAAGCACUUUAAGUUGGGAGGCGUUACCAACAGAAUAAGCACCGGCUAACUUCGUGCCAGCAGCCGCGGUAAUAC